rnacentral:rRNA from 1 species
GACGAAGGAUGCAAGCGUUAUCCGGAUUCAUUGGGUUUAAAGGGCGCGUAGGCGGCCUUAUAAGUCAGUGGUGAAAUCUUUGGGCUUAACCCAAAAAUUGCCAUUGAUACUGUAGGGCUUGAGUACAGUUGCUGUGGGCGGAAUAUGACAUGUAGUGGUGAAAUACAUAGAGAUGUCAUAGAACACCGAUUGCGAAGGCAGCUCGCUAAACUGACAUUGACGCUGAGGCACGAAAGCGUGGGGAGCAAACAGG